rnacentral:rRNA from 1 species
AGAGUUUGAUCAUGGCUCAGAGCGAACGCUGGCGGCGUGCUUAACACAUGCAAGUCGAGGGAGAACGGAGGGCUUCGGCCUUCCUAGUAAACCGGCGCACGGGUGAGUAACACGUAGGUAACCUACCUCCGAGUUCGGGAUAACCUGUCGAAAGAUAGGCUAAUACCGGAUAAGACCACGAUGGUUUCGGCCAUUGCGGUCAAAGAUGGCCUCUAUUUAUACGCUAUCGCUUGGGGAUGGGCCUGCGCACCAUUAGCUAGUUGGUGAGGUAACGGCUCACCAAGGCUACGAUGGUUAGUUGGUCUGAGAGGAUGACCAGCCACACUGGGACUGAGACACGGCCCAGACUCCUACGGGAGGCAGCAGUGGGGAAUAUUGCGCAAUGGGGGAAACCCUGACGCAGCGACGCCGCGUGGGUGAUGAAGGCCUUCGGGUCGUAAAGCCCUGUCGGAGGGGAAGAAGGACUCUCGUGCAAAUAGUUCGAGGGUUUGACGGUACCCUUAGAGGAAGCACCGGCUAACUCCGUGCCAGCAGCCGCGGUAAUACGGAGGGUGCAAGCGUUGCUCGGAAUUACUGGGCGUAAAGGGCGUGUAGGCGGUUUCGUAUGUCUGGCGUGAAAGCCCCGGGCUCACCUCGGGAAGUGCGUCGGAAACUGCGAGACUAGAGUCCCGGAGAGGGAGGUGGAAUUCCAGGUGUAGCGGUGAAAUGCGUAGAUAUCUGGAAGAACACCGGUGGCGAAGGCGGCCUCCUGGACGGUGACUGACGCUGAGACGCGAAAGCGUGGGGAGCAAACAGGAUUAGAUACCCUGGUAGUCCACGCCAUAAACGAUGAGCACUAGGUGUCGCGGGUAUUGACCCCUGCGGUGCCGCCGCUAACGCAUUAAGUGCUCCGCCUGGGGACUACGGCCGCAAGGUUAAAACUCAAAGGAAUUGACGG